GUCGGCCCGCGCCCGCCGCACGCAUGCGCUCUGCGCCCAGCAUGAGGGUCGCGGCUCUGAUCAGUGGUGGGAAGGACAGCUGUUAUAAUAUGAUGCAGUGCAUUGCUGCUGGGCAUCAGAUUGUUGCUUUAGCAAAUCUAAGACCACCUGAAAACCAAGG